rnacentral:lncRNA from 1 species
GGCUGCAAUCCUAUGUAUUGAGCUUGGGCUGCAUGCUUAUGCACCAUCCACUUAUUUGGAUGGUGUAGAUUUUUUCCACCACCCCAUGAGGGAAACUGGAGCACCGGAAGCCCUAGAUACAACCCGCACAAUUUUUGCUCGCCAUGUAACGAAAUUUUGCUGAAAUGUGAGAGCCUUAGCCCCACGCAAUCUAACAACCUAUGCACAAAACCAACGAAAUUUUGGUGAAAUAAAUCAAACCGUUCCCACGAAAAUUAGAGGUUUUCCUAAUAGAGAGAAAGACUCCGUUCUAGAGAGAGAAAGGGAGAUAACAAACAUUGUUACCUUGAUCACUGAAGAAUACGAGAUGGCUAAAGGAUUGAAAACAGAGUGGAGGGCAACAAUCUCAUUCCCAUCUCUCGAGAAUGGUUGAAUGGCUUCACCAUCAAAUAGAGAUGUGUAGGUCAAGAUUUACAUUCACGGUUUUGUGACGAAAGUAAGAAAUUUAUCUCUGAAUGCCUGUUGAUUGCUUUGGAUGUAUCAAUCAUUUUAUUUUUGGUUUGUGCAAAGUUCAGAAAUGCAAGAUUUUGAUAUGCAAUAAAAAAAAAAAAUCAUCGAAUGAAAAUACCUUGUCAAAAAAAAUGAAAAUUAGGUUUUUCUUAAAAAUAUCAGCCAAAUUUGCGAGCUAAGCGGGUGUUCUCUCAUUCUCCCUUCUUGCAGUAGAUUUUAAAGCAGCUCUAUUUCUCUCUCUUCAAUUAAAAUAGUAACCCAAUUUAAAAGCCACAGGACUAUCUACUCCACCAUCCUCAAUGCUAUGGUGCUCUUCUCUCUACCCAUCAUCCCCUUCAUUCUCUACAUCUUCUCCUUACCUUCUCAUUAAAUUCCUUCUAGUUGACUUUGAACCCUAAAUAUGCGAACUAUGUAGUUUAUC